AUUGAACGCUGGCGGCAGGCCUAACACAUGCAAGUCGAACGAGUGGCGGACGGGUGAGUAAUGUCUGGGAACCUGCCUGAUGGAGGGGGAUAACUACUGGAAACGGUAGCUAAUACCGCAUACCAUCGGAUGUGCCCAGAUGGGAUUAGCUAGUCGGUGGGGUAACGGCUCACCUAGGCGACGAUCCCUAGCUGGUCUUAGAGGAUGACCAGCCACACGUGAACGGAGACACGGUCCUGACUCCUACGGUAGGCAGCAGUGGGGAAUAUUGCACAAGGGGCGCAAGCCUGAUGCAGCAAUGCCGCGUGUAUGAAGAAGGCCUUCGGGUUGUAAAGUACUUUCAGCGAGGAGGCGUUACCCGCAGAAGAAGCACCGGCUAACUCCGUGCCAGCAGCCGCGGUAAUAC
rnacentral:rRNA from 1 species